rnacentral:rRNA from 1 species
UACGUAGGGGGCAAGCGUUGUCCGGAAUCAUUGGGCGUAAAGAGCGUGUAGGCGGCUUGGUAAGUCCGCUGUGAAAGUCCAGGGCUCAACCCUGGAAAGCCGGUGGAAACUGUCAAGCUUGAGUCCGGAAGAGGCGAGUGGAAUUCCUGGUGUAGCGGUGAAAUGCGCAGAUAUCAGGAAGAACACCUAUGGCGAAGGCAGCUCUCUGGGACGGUACU